GCCUUGCUUUCUGGUCGCCAGGGAAGCAAGGAGGCAUUGGCCCAGGACAGCAAGGGCAGGAAGGAGCCUGGGAGAAGCAGAAGUCAACAAGCAGCAGAUCAGGAGCCUUGUGGAGCAGCCUCCGUCUGCCCGGCAGCCACAGAUGUGGCCUCAGUGACCGCCCAGGGCCUCUCCCCACUCCAGCGGCUGCUGUGCUCCUGCCAAGGGCCCACGGGUGCAGCAGCUGUGUGUCAUCCCUGCCCUUCCUCCUCCUCCCUCCUUGUCUCCCUCCUCCCUGCCUCCUUCCUGCCUUCACCAUCUCUAAGCACCUACCCUUCAUCUCCACGGAAGAAAGCUCAUAGAAUGACUAUUUCCAGGGACAUUUGAAUUUUAUGAGUGCUUCUCAAGCCCCAAAGGCAAAGGGGGUGUUGUAUGCAGUUCUUGUUGUUCCGGUGACCUGCGGCUCCAGGUACAGUCUCUUUCCUGCUUUCUCCUCUCCACGGUGGACCCUGCUCAUCCUCCCAGCUGCUUGGAAGGGAAGGUAAACACUGCAGAGUGCAGGAGCGCUCAUGCUGAGAGCAGCGAAAGAGGUUUAAUGGGCUUGUUAUCAGGCACCUGCUGAGCAGUCCUUCUCCCAAGAAGACAGGACUGAGAGAUAAAUGACCUGGCCCGAGCAGCCUCCUGGUGAGAAGAGAAAUGCCUGGAACAGGAAGGGGUGAAUCCAUAGACCAGGCCGGUCAUAGGGGCAGGCGAAGAUUUGCGGGGAGAAAAGCAGCCCUCCCUCUGCAGAGUUGUCAACCAUCCAAGGUUCAAUGAAGUAUGGACAGCGGUGCAGAAACAUCAUGGACAAAAAUAGGCUGAUCUAAUGCUGAUAGAUUAGUUAUUAUGAGUGGGAAGACCCAACAAAGCCUGUCUAGAUUCUUCUUGGCCUCUCUGAGCAGCUUCCUUUCCAUCUGGGAGCAGGACUUUCUCUAAAAUGAAGGUCUUAUGACCUACAGUCAAACAAGGCUUGAAAAAAAAAUUAAUAAAUGGCUUGAAAAGGAGCUGAUUUGAGAGUAAAUAAUGUGACAAGAGAGAUACCAGAGAAGAGAAGCUGUCUGGAUGGUUGGCAUAAUUAAAAUCAAUAUGGAUCAUAAGAAAAUAAUUAUAUUCACUGUACAGUAUUUUUGAAGAUUGCUUCUAUCAAACCUACAACUUAAUUUCACAGCCACCCAGUGAAGCCGCUGGAGAUCUGAGGAAUCCCAAAGACAAGAAUGGGAAUCUCUCCCUUACCCUCAGGUUAGGAGAUGAUUGUCCCAGACUUCUGUGUGGUUAGCAGGAUUGGGGUAACCCAAGGUGGGUGUUUGGGCUCAGAAAACAAUACCCUCCCAAAAUGAAGGCCUCAGAAGCAAAACUUUUCCUCUGGCCCUCUCCUGUCCUCCUGGCUCUGCCUCUCAUUCUCCCCUGAGGCUGGCCAGAGAAACUAGAAUCCCUCUUUUCCAUGGCGGAUCAUAGAAACCGGAACCCAUUUUCCCCAAAGCCAGCCAUAAAACCUAAAAAUGUUACUUUAAUGUCCCCUCUGCUUUUCUGUGUAAAAACUCACCAUGAAAAAUUAUCUGAUCGAGCUUGUUUGACAGGAGGGCAGAAGACCUCCUUUCCAGAGAGGGUCCUGCCCCACACCCAGAAGGAAGUGCUGCUGAGAGAGGCCAAGAAGAUUCUAGACAGAUAGGCUUUGCUGGGUGUCCCCAGUCAGUCCAUCAGGAUGGACUUUUUGUCCAAUCAUAUUUCUACAUGGCUGUCCAUACUUUGUUGAACUUAAGCAUAAAAGUGGACAAUAUCCCCUGUAUCUUUGGGUCUUCAUUCUGAAGGCUCCCUUGUAUACACGUUAAAUAAAUUUACAUGUCUUUUUUCCAAUUGAUCUCCCUUUUGUGAGUUGAUUUUCCAGAGAACCUUCAGAAGGCCAAGGGUUUCCCUUGGCCGCUAGGUGGGCAUGACCCAAACAACAUGUGUCAGCUGAGCGCUGGGCCUGACCUGCCCUUGACGGAAGUGCCUGUCUUGGAUUGACCGCUGCACCUGCCCUGGACGGAAGUGUCUGCCCUGGACGGAAGUGUCUGCCCUGGAUUGGCCACUGGACUUGCCCUUAACAGAAGUGCCUGCCCUUGAUUGGCUGCUGUGGGCUGGCUGGGCUGGGGCUUCCACAGAAGAGCUGCCUUCUUGAAGGGUUAAAGCACCAGCUCAAGGAAAUCAGGGUCAACCCGGAUCUCCCAUUAGGAUUCAGAGUCAAGCUGUCUGGAACUACUGUCUGGAAGAGCAUCUUCCCCAUCCCAGCAACUGUACCCCUCAAUCAGGAACUGUUACUGAACCCAGGGCUGCCUGGAUAAACAUUUAUAAGGCCCAGAGGGAUCAUUAGUGGAGGGUAGAGGAUGGCUUUGCUUGAACCUCCGACAGUCACCAUAAGUCCAAAACUGAAUUCACCCUUUGCCCUUUAACUCAUAGAAAUUCAAAUGAGGCAAGGGUGAGGAGAGAGAACAACUUAAACCAGUGGUUCUCAACCUUGUCUGCACCUUAGAAUUCAGAUACCUAGGCUGUUCUCUAGAAGGAUGGAAUCAGAAUCUCUGGGGGUGGAACCCAGGCAUCUGUAUUUUUCAAAGUUCCCCAGGUGAUUCCAAUGUGCAGCCAAGGUUGAGAAUCAUGGACUCAAACUUGCUUGGAGUUCCUGCUAGUCAUUCUACCUAUGGCUGAAAACCCUGGGGUGAAGGAGUGGAAGACCUGAUUCUUCUAUCUCUGUGGGGCUCCUUGUGUUUUUCCUGUAAUGAGCAUCUCUCCAUGCUGAGUGUGAUUUUUGGGGUUUAAGAUCUGUAUUUCAGCUGAGAGCAGUGGCAUGCACCUAUAAUCCCAGCUGCUUAGGAGGCUGAGGCAGGAGGAUUGCUUGAGCUCAGGAAUUCAAGGCUGCAGUGAGCUGUGAUUAUGCCACUGUAUUCCAUCCUGGGUGACAGAGCAAGACCCUGACUUAAAAAAAAAAAAAAAGUCUGCAUUUCACAUAUAACAAGGCCUUGGAACUUCAUCUGAUUCAACCAAACCUGUGAUGAUCUCUACUGUACCUUAUGGAUAAUUUAAGGGAUUUUCAAGUGCAAUGUUGGCCAUAUGAAAUUUUGCUUUCAUCCAAACUUUCAAGCCUAAGCCCUGCAUGACAACCCUGCCUUCCUUUUUUCAGUGGACAGUUAGCCAUUCCCCAGUGGCUCUGCUGGCAAUCCAGGCAAUUGUUGUCACCCUCUUACAUUCCCUCAGCUCCUGCGUUGGUCCUCAGAUCUUCCCAAUCUUCUUCUAUAUUCUCUGCACCUGCUUCAGGUGAGUCCUUCAUCUCGAAUCUAUUAUCAUAACCUCCUAACUGGCGCCCCUGUCCCCAGCCUCUUUCCCCUCCAGUCCAUCAUCUGCCUGCCUUCUGGUGAACAAGGCAGAUACAA